GUGGUGGUGGGGGAGGAGUCUUGGGGAGGUGUGGUGGUGGUGUGGUGGGGUGUUAGGGUCAGUGGUGUGAGGCGUACGCUAUGUGGUGUUAGGGUCUGAUAAGAGUUGUGUUAGGUUAGGUUAGGUUAGGGUAAGGAUGAAGGGAGUGACUGGGGAGGAGAAGGGAAGGUGAGGGAAGAAAAGGGAACUGAAGGGAAGGGAAGGGAAGAGAAUGGAAGGUGAG